rnacentral:lncRNA from 1 species
AGGACAUCAUCCACGACCCUGAUUUUCUGGCCAAGUGCUUUGAGGAUGCUUUACUCGAAAUGAAAGCAGCAGCUUCUACUGCCUUGAACUCGAAGAAGUAAACAAGGAAACAUUCCUGUGGGGUUAGGAGGGAAAAAUCUGUAUUUUAUUCUUAUGGAUGUGGGAUUAUACACGGGGAUAAAAAGAAUCGAUCCCAUUUAUAUGAUGUUCUAUUGGGACAAGAAGAACCAUUUUAGGCCAUCGAUCCAAAUUUCGUCUUAUGUCUUACUUGAUUGAUGAAGUUAGUAGGGUGUUGCUCGAGUUCUGGAUCCAUCCACUCUAUGUUGAGCUCCAAGCAAUUGAAAAGAGAAAUGAAGAGAACAAAGUCAAUUGUAU